rnacentral:rRNA from 1 species
UACGGGGGGGGCGAGCGUUGUUCGGAAUUACUGGGCGUAAAGGGUUUGUAGGUGGCCUGCUAAGUCAGACGUGAAAUCCCGGAGCUCAACUCCGGAUGUGCAUAGGAUACUGGAAGGCUUGGGACUGGUAGAGGCGAGCGGAAUUUCCGGUGUAGCGGUGAAAUGCGUAGAUAUCGGAAGGAACACCAGUGGCGAAAGCGGCUUCCUGGUCCAGCAUCGACGUUCAGGCACGAAAGCGUGGGGAGCAAACAGG